rnacentral:rRNA from 1 species
GAUGCCAGAGCCAAGAGAUCCGUUGUGAAAGUUUUAAUUUAUUUGCUUGUUUACUCAGAAGAAACAUUAUAGAAACAGAGUUAGGGGGUCCUCUGGCGGGGGCGGCCCGUGUUACGGGGCCGUCUGUUCCCGCCGAGGCAACGUUUUAGGUAUGUUCACAGGGUUGAUGAGUUGUAUAACUCGGUAAUGAUCCCUCUCUCGGCGAACCUGGAGAGAAUUUCAUUCCCGUAAUUUUUUCCACUCUUUAAGCGGGGCAACAUUCAAAAACCCGCCUUUCGGCGGGGACCCCCCGCCGCUCAACAGGAGGCCCCCGCCACAGGACCCCCUAAAUCUGUUUUUAUAAUGUUUUUUUUGAGUAAACAAGCAAAUAAAAUAAAACUUUCAACAACGGAUCUCCCAACUCCGGCCUCGGUGACGAAAGCAGCGAAAUGCGAUAAGUAAUGUGAAUUGCAGAAUUCAGUGAAUCAUCGAAUCUUUGAACGCACAUUGCGGCCGCCAGUAUUCUGGCGGGCAUGCCUGUUCGAGCGUCAUUACAACCCUCAGGCCCCCGGGCCUGGCGUUGGGGAUCGGCGGAAGCCCCCUGCGGGCACAACGCCGUCCCCCAAAUACAGUGGCGGUCCCGCCGCAGCUUCCAUUGCGUAGUAGCUAACACCUCGCAACUGGAGAGCGGCGCGGCCACGCCGUAAAACACCCAACUUCUGAU